GGGGGUAUAGCUCAGUCGUAGAACAUUCGACUGCAGAUCGAGAGGUCACCGGUUCAAUCCCGGGUGCCCCCU
rnacentral:tRNA from 1 species